GAAUGAAGGAAGAAGAAUCAAAUCAGAAAUUAGAUCUUGCCUUGCUCCUAUGACACUUUACAAAGACCUUCAAACACAUUAGCCUGCACAGAGCACAUCAAAUGUAAUAAAUGUUGUUGAACAAAUGGUGAGAAGCAAAAGAACGACCAAAUACCCGGGUAAAUUUCUGUGAUGACCUGCCAUAUUUUAAUACCAGCCACAAGAAAGAAGAACAUUCACUGAAAAAUCUAUAUAAGGACUACAGAAUAAUCUCAUUAACACUCAAAUCAUCAAUCAUCUGCAGAGCUUAAAAAUAAAAAGGGGAGGUUCCAAGACGGCCGAAUAAGAACAGCUCCAGUCUACAGCUCCCAGUGUGAGCGACACAGAAGAAGGCUGAUUUCUGCAUUUCCAACUGAGGUACCAGGUACAGACCUCAGCGCGAGAGCUGUCUUCAAAAGGAAGAUUUGGAAGAGGACACAGAAUAGGUUGCUGAAAAGAUUAUACAUCAAUAUCAACUGACUCAAAGAAAAAAUUUGAAAAAACGUUUGGCAGUCAACUUAACUACGUCUGCAAUGAGGAAAACCUGAGGAUCAGAGACAGGAAAAAGGAUGGAAGUGACACUUAUUAGGAACAUUAUGUAUGGAAUGGGAUUCCCUCCAUUGAAAUUUAUAUGAAAGACACUGAAACUGAACAUCUUUGAACUAUAAUUCUUCUAGGUUUCGUAGCCAUGGAGUAUCACAUAUAAAAGGAGAGCUCGAGCAAAGAGAGAUAGGAACUUUAUCCCUCAGUGGACUCAAUUUCGGCAUGACAUCAGAAUCAGAGUAACAUUUCAUUAAAAGGAAGAAAAGAGG